AUUGAACGCUGGCGGCAUGCUUUACACAUGCAAGUCGAACGGCAGCACGGACUUCGGUCUGGUGGCGAGUGGCGAACGGGUGAGUAAUACAUCGGAACGUACCCAGUAAUGGGGGAUAACUAUCCGAAAGGAUAGCUAAUACCGCAUACGCCCUACGGGGGAAAGAGGGGGAUCGCAAGACCUCUUGUUAUUGGAGCGGCCGAUGGCUGAUUAGCUAGUUGGUGGGGUAAAGGCCUACCAAGGCAACGAUCAGUAGCGGGUCUUAGAGGACGAUCCGCCACACUGGAACUGAGACACGGUCCAGACGCCUACGGGAGGCAGCAGUGGGGAAUCUUGGACAAUGGGCGCAAGCCUGAUUCAGCAAUGCCGCGUGCGUGAAGAAGGCCUUCGGGUUGUAAAGCGCUUUUGUCAGGGAGCAAAUCCUUGUGGCUAAUACCCACCGGGGAUGAGAGUACCUGAAGAAUAAGGACCGGCUAACUACGUGCCAGCAGCCGCCGUAACAC
rnacentral:rRNA from 1 species